rnacentral:rRNA from 1 species
GGGUUGAUCUAUGUGAUUGCAGAUUCAGUGAAUCAUCGAGUCUUUGAACGCACAUUGCGCCCUCUGGUAUUCCGGAGGGCAUGCCUGUCCGAGCGUCAUUGCUGCCCUCAAGCACGGCUUGUGUGUUGGGCCCCGUCCCCCCCGCGCCGGGGGGACGGGCCCGAAAGGCAGCGGCGGCACCGCGUCCGGUCCUCGAGCGUAUGGGGCUUCGUCACCCGCUCUUGUAGGCCCGGCCGGCGCCAGCCGACCCCCAACCUUUAUAUUUUCUCAGGUUGACCUCGGAUCAGGUAGGGAUACCCGCUGAACUUAAGCAUAUCAAUAAGCGGAGGAA